rnacentral:rRNA from 1 species
GCUUAGCCUUAAACCUAGAUGUUUACCUUACAGAAAACAUCCGCCAGGGUACUACAAGCGCCAGCUUAAAACCCAAAGGACUUGACGGUGUCUCAGACCCACCUAGAGGAGCCUGUUCUAGAACCGAUAAUCCACGUUUAACCUCACCACCUCUUGUUUUUCCCGCCUAUAUACCGCCGUCGCAAGCUUACCCUGUGAAGGAUUAACAGUAAGCAAAAUGGGUACCUCCCAAAACGUCAGGUCGAGGUGUAGCUUACGAGGUGGAAAGAAAUGGGCUACAUUUUCUACACCAGAAUAUACGAACGGCACUAUGAAAUUAGGGCUCGAAGGUGGAUUUAGUAGUAAAAAUCAAAUAGAGAGUUAUUUUGAAAUUAGGCUCUGAGACGCGC